GUCGAGGGGUAUAGGUUUUCGGACCUAGAGACCGGCGCACGGGUGCGUAACGCGUAUGCAAUCUACCUUUUACAGAGGGAUAGCCCAGAGAAAUUUGGAUUAAUACCUCAUAGUAUUAUUGAAUGGCAUCAUUUAAUAAUUAAAGUCACAACGGUAAAAGAUGAGCAUGCGUCCCAUUAGCUAGUUGGUAAGGUAACGGCUUACCAAGGCAACGAUGGGUAGGGGUCCUGAGAGGGAGAUCCCCCACACUGGUACUGAGACACGGACCAGACUCCUACGGGAGGCAGCAGUGAGGAAUAUUGGUCAAUGGGCGCAAGACUGAACCAGCCAUGCCGCGUGCAGGAUGACGGUCCUAUGGAUUGUAAACUGCUUUUGUACAGGAAGAAACAGUUCUACGUGUAGAACCUUGACGGUACUGUAAGAAUAAGGAUCGGCUAACUCCGUGCCAGCAGCCGCGGUAAUACGGAGGAUCCAAGCGUUAUCCGGAAUCAUUGGGUUUAAAGGGUCCGUAGGCGGUUUUGUAAGUCAGUGGUGAAAGCCCAUCGCUCAACGGUGGAACGGCCAUUGAUACUGCAAGACUUGAAUUAUUGGGAAGCAACUAGAAUAUGUAGUGUAGCGGUGAAAUGCUUAGAGAUUACAUGGAAUACCAAUUGCGAAGGCAGGUUGCUACCAAUAUAUUGACGCUGAUGGACGAAAGCGUGGGGAGCGAAACCGGAUUAGAUACCCUGGUAGUCCACGCCGUAA
rnacentral:rRNA from 1 species